UGAGGAAUAUUGGUCAAUGGGCGGAAGCCUGAACCAGCCAAGCCGCGUGAAGGAAGAAGGUGCUAAGCAUUGUAAACUUCUUUUGUCCGGGAACAAUAAGGUGGAUGUAUCCACCGAUGCGUGUACCGGAAGAAAAAGCAUCGGCUAACUCCGUGCCAGCAGCCGCGGUAAUACGGAGGAUGCGAGCGUUAUCCGGAUUUAUUGGGUUUAAAGGGUGCGUAGGCGGUUGGUCAAGUCUGCGGUAAAAUGUCGGGGCUCAACCCCGGCCGGCCGUGGAAACUGAUUAACUUGAGACGGUGAGGGGCAUGCGGAAUGCGCAGUGUAGCGGUGAAAUGCAUAGAUAUUGCGCAGAACUCCGAUCGCGAAGGCAGCAUGCCGGCACCGGACUGACGCUGAGGCACGAAAGCGUGGGGAUCGAACAGG
rnacentral:rRNA from 1 species